UUCCAGCUGACGAGUUCCACGUAGGAUGAAGCGCGCGUCCUGGAU
rnacentral:hammerhead_ribozyme from 1 species